UUAAAGGUCACAGUACAUGUAUUAAAGGGCUACUAAUAGUUUCAUAUGUUGAGAAAACUCAAACAUAUUCUUCAGGUGCAAACCACAUAUUAUAACGAACUCAAGAAAUUGAAUAGUAGAAGACACGCGAAAAGAACUGAGAAGAUUUGCACCAGAG